GACGAACGCUGGCGGCGUGCUUAACACAUGCAAGUCGAACGGAAAGGCCCUGCUUUUGUGGGGUGCUCGAGUGGCGAACGGGUGAGUAACACGUGAGUAACCUGCCCUUGACUUUGGGAUAACUUCAGGAAACUGGGGCUAAUACCGGAUAGGAGCUCCUGCUGCCUGGUGGGGGUUGGAAAGUUUCGGAGGUUGUGGAUGGACUCGCGGCUUAUAAGCUUGUUGGUGGGGUAGUGGCUGACCAAGGCUUUGACGGGUAGCCGGCCGGGGAGGGUGACCGGCCACAUUGGGACUGAGAUACGGCGCAGACGCCUACGGGAGGCAGCAGUGGGGAAUAUUGCACAAUGGGCGGAAGCCUGAUGCAGCAACGCCGCGGGCGGGAUGACGGCCUUCGGGUUGUAAACCGCUUUCGCCUGUGACGAAGCGUGAGUGACGGUAAUGGGUAAAGAAGCACCGGCUAACUACGUG
rnacentral:rRNA from 1 species